UACGAAGGGGGCUAGCGUUGUUCGGAAUUACUGGGCGUAAAGCGCACGUAGGCGGAUACUUAAGUUAGGGGUGAAAUCCCGGGGCUCAACCCCGGAACUGCCUUUAAUACUGGGUAUCUCGAGUUCGAGAGAGGUGAGUGGAAUUCCGAGUGUAGAGGUGAAAUUCGUAGAUAUUCGCAAGAACACCAGUGGCGAAGGCGGCUCACUGGCUCGGUGCUGACGCUGAGGUGCGAAAGCGUGGGGAGCAAACAGG
rnacentral:rRNA from 1 species